GAAAUAAAAUAAGUGAAUUAUAAAUUAUUUAUUUCUUUUCCUCCCAUGUUCUCCUGUUUAUUAUUUUUUUACCCAUUCCUUUUCCUACCUAAAAUUGAUCUAGAGGGUAGUUAAAGAGAAGGUGGUACAACAAUGAGAUAUAGCAUAUUGGACAUAAAAUGGAAGGAUUGUAGUUGUAGACUCUAGUUAUAUUGGGCAUUUUAUUCCUUUAGAAGAGAGAUUCUUUCCUGGAAUAUAAAUAUAGGACGAUGUUUUGGUUUGUUUUGAUCUAAUCUUGGGAUUAUUCUCAUUUGCAACUUUACAGGAUGGUGUUUUGACGCUACCUU
rnacentral:misc_RNA from 1 species